AGAUUGAUAGCUUAGGGGUAAAGCAUGUUGCUCAUAACAACAAAGACGUUGGUUCAAUCCCAUCUCAAUCUA
rnacentral:tRNA from 1 species